AAGUCGUAACAAGGUUUCCGUAGGUGAACCUGCGGAAGGAUCAUUAACACGUAUCCAAACGUUAAAACCCCCCCCGUGAACAUUCAUCCUGCUCUUGUAACCCGCGAAGCUUGCAAUCUCUGGUAAAUCAUAGCCCGGAAAGUAGUUUUGAUUCAGAGACCUCUGGCCCGUGAGAUUCUUUGAGACGUUACAAUUUUGAGCGGUAGUUCUAUAGGCCUUGUUUCCCCAAGCAGUCAGUGUCUGAAAGUGUCAUUGAUUGUGCAAGGAUAACGCUUCACGAUUCUUGUAGACCGCAUCUCGCGGGCAGGAGCAGUUGUUCGGUUUUUUUACCCAAUGUAUUACAUUGAGCUUCACAUUAAACUGUGGGGUUGUAAGGGGGCAUGGGGACCCUUUGGUGUUAACAAUGGAUAUCUUGGUUCUC
rnacentral:misc_RNA from 1 species